ensembl:rRNA 5S_rRNA 5S ribosomal RNA
AGCCAAAGCCACAUCACCCUGCAGCCCAAGACCGGUUCCUCACUGAAGCUAAGCAGGGCUGAGCCUGGUCAGUAUCUGGAUGGGAGACCACAUGGGGAAAGUAGGUUGCUGUUGCAC